rnacentral:tRNA from 14 species
GCUUGUGGCGCAGUUGGGAGCGCGUUAGACUGAAGAUCUAAAGGUCUCGUGUUCGAUCC